CUAGCUGUAAACGAUGGAUACUAGGCGUUGAGAGUAUCGACCCUCUCAGUGUCGUAGCUAACGCGUUAAGUAUCCCGCCUGGGGAGUACGCGCGCAAGCGUGAAACUCAAAGGAAUUGACGGGGGCCCGCACAAGCGGUGGAGUAUGUGGUUUAAUUCGAUGCAACGCGAAGAACCUUACCGGGGCUUGACAUGUCCGGAACCCUGCCCAAAGGCGGGGGUGCCUACGGGAACCGGAACACAGGUGGUGC
rnacentral:rRNA from 1 species